rnacentral:rRNA from 1 species
UACGAAGGGGGCUAGCGUUGUUCGGAUUUACUGGGCGUAAAGCGCACGUAGGCGGAUCGUUAAGUCGGGGGUGAAAUCCUGGAGCUCAACUCCAGAACUGCCUUCGAUACUGGCGAUCUUGAGUCCGGAAGAGGUGAGUGGAACUCCUAGUGUAGAGGUGGAAUUCGUAGAUAUUCGCAAGAACACCGGUGGCGAAGGCGGCCAACUGGACCAUUACUGACGCUGAGGCGCGAAAGCGUGGGGAGCAAACAGG